rnacentral:rRNA from 1 species
UGAGGAAUAUUGGUCAAUGGACGCAAGUCUGAACCAGCCAAGUAGCGUGCAGGAUGACGGCCCUAUGGGUUGUAAACUGCUUUUAUAUGGGGAUAAAGUGGGGAACGUGUUCCCUUUUGCAGGUACCAUAUGAAUAAGGACCGGCUAAUUCCGUGCCAGCAGCCGCGGUAAUACGGAAGGUUCGGGCGUUAUCCGGAUUUAUUGGGUUUAAAGGGAGCGUAGGCCGUUUGGUAAGCGUGUUGUGAAAUGUAGGAGCUCAACUUCUAGAUUGCAGCGCGAACUGUCAGACUUGAGUGCGCACAACGUAGGCGGAAUUCAUGGUGUAGCGGUGAAAUGCUUAGAUAUCAUGAAGAACUCCGAUUGCGAAGGCAGCUUACGGGGACGCAACUGACGCUGAAGCUCGAAGGUGCGGGUAUCGAACAGG